UUUUGAAGCAAAUGCGAAAGAUAUAAGUCUGAGAGUUUUUACUUUGUUGUGUUUGAGACUAUUUAAAGUCUUGUCAAAGGAUUACAAUCUAUAUAUACGAGAUGUUUAAUUGUUUCCCACUGGACAUAUCCACCCAUAAAUAUAGCUGAUGCGUAACUUCCUGACAAAAGAGAUUUGUCUUCAAGCCAGGCCAAAGUAGGCAUAAGUACAACCAAGAGAGCAAUAGCAUAGAGAGUCGGUAAUUGGUGACUAUGGAAGAAUCUUGGCGGGACAAUGCUUAGUGCAAUAUAUUAAAAUCUGUAAAAGAAAUUAACAAAAUGUUAGAUUCAUUCGGCCAAGGACAGCGGUCAUGAGGAGACAGUGACUGCCGUUUAAAUUGAAUGUUGCUUCCGCAUUCUCCUUCUGUUUCGGAUACAAUGCGGCAUGCAAGAAUAUGUAGCGAGAAAUUUCAUUUAACGAAUGAAUGCACGGAAAUGGAUAUGGUUGUCGGAAUGCAUCCCUCGCAUGUCGAAUAUCUAAUAAAAAGUAUCUUAUAACUGUACUCUACUACUAGGCGCUGUGUUGAUAUCCAGAAAGCCAUUUGAAACUUAUUUGUAUUUAUUUAAAAAUGUUCUAGGGUAAUUAAAUAGGUUCAUAUGCUUUUCUCCUUCCAAAAUGGGUGUUUAGAGGCAGAAUAUCCCAUGUACUCAGAAACACUCCUUCGCACAGAUUCUUUUGAUGCUUUUAGAGGGGACUAUACGAGUCAUGUAAUGUGUGUCUGAAAUUCUUUUUGAAUCAUUUAUGAAGCCAGCCAGCCGUCGCUGGAAAAUAAAUGCUGAAUAAAGCUCCAA